AGAAUCAACGCUGGCGGCGUGCCUAACACAUGCAAGUCGAACGAGAAAGUGGAGCAAUCCAUGAGUAAAGUGGCGCACGGGUGAGUAACACGUGACUAACCUACCCUUGAGUGGGGGAUAACCUAGAGAAAUCUGGGCUAAUACCGCAUAAUACCUUCGGGUCAAAGGAGCAAUUCGCUUAAGGAGGGGGUCGCGGCCGAUUAGUUAGUUGGCGGGGUAAUGGCCCACCAAGACUAUGAUCGGUAUCCGGCCUGAGAGGGCGCACGGACACACUGGAACUGAAACACGGUCCAGACUCCUACGGGAGGCAGCAGUGGGGAAUUUGCGCAAUGGGGGAAACCCUGACGCAGCAACGCCGCGUGGAGGAUGAAGUCCCUUGGGACGUAAACUCCGUUUCGAUCGGGACGAUAAUGACGGUACCGAGAGAAGAAGCCCCGGCUAACUUCGCGCCAGCAGCCGC
rnacentral:rRNA from 1 species